rnacentral:lncRNA from 1 species
AUGGCGUCCCGAAGGGCCAGACUGGACAAGGACCAGGAAAUCGGUCAGAAGACAAGUCUGAUGGGGCCUGAAGAGCCCCCCGAUCCUUCUGUCAGAAGAAUGAAGAAGAAAGAGUCCAGGAAGCAGGAUGUCCAGUUGCUGCUUGAUUUGGAACAAGGACCAGCUCCUCUCCCUAGGGGGUCUCUGCGGAAUGGGGUGCAUCGUGCUACUGCCCAAGAGUGGCAGCAAGAGGAGGAGGGUAACCCCAUCUGCUCCCCGUGCUCCCGUAGCUCUUCUCUAGACUCCAGGGGCAACUAUUUCCGAGACGGGAAAACCAAGAUUGGUGAGAAGUUGGUGAGAGGGAGAUGGGGCAACCCUUUAGGGCCCACGCCCCGACGGGGGCAGUCCAGGGAGGGCUUCUCUGCAUCCGUCCUACCUCUCCGUCCAGCCCUGCACACACAUCUGGCACUGGCAAGUGUCUCCUUCGAUGCCAUUCCAAUUUCCCCCUUCCCUCCCACGUCAUUAGGUCGAAGGACAAUCGCUUCAAUUCCCUG